CUAGAAGGAAAGCGGCGAACGGGUGAGUAAUACGUUGGCAUCUGCCCCUAGGUCAGGGAUAGCCCACUGAAAAGUGGAUUAAUACCGGAUAGUCUCUUCGGAGUAAAAAUUUAUUGCCUAGGGAGGAGCCUUCGUUCUAUCAGCUUGUUGGUGAGGUAAUAGCUCACCAAGGCUAUGACGGAUAACUGGUCUGAGAGGAUGAUCAGUCACAAUGGAACUGAGACACGGUCCAUACUCC
rnacentral:rRNA from 1 species